rnacentral:ncRNA from 2 species
AUCAUCAUCGGAUCAACUGGUUCCCUAGAGGCGAGGCGCCUUCGGGGAGUAAAUGGGAACGUGAAGGAUGGACCCACUCUGGGCAUCUUCAUCACGGCCGACCCCGCGACUGUAGAGCGGUGAGAACCUGCCAUGCCGGACCUCCGGCAAAAGCCACUGAGGCGAAGGGCGAUGAGCCCAUGUCUUGGGAAGGUGAGACAGGUUCCUUGAUGCGAAGGCAUCUGACGCCGCGAGCCAGGAAACCUGCCUGUUGAUGAGGGGCAUG